AACACAACACAAUCUUCAUCAUCACACAAGACAAAACAACUACAAUGAACAACAUCAUCAUCCUCAUCUGGACCAUUGCAGCUUUUAUUCAAGGAUCCAGAGGAGUCACUCUGACUCAACCUGAAGUUAAAACUGUCCAGCUCGGUCAAACAGCUACAAUAGAGUGUCAUAUAGAUGUAGGAAUAUACAGCAAUGACUUAUACUGGUAUCAGCAGAAACCUGGAGAAGCUCCUAAACUCCUCAUAUAUCUUAUAUCAAACCGUUACACUGGAACUCCAUCUAGAUUCAGUGGCAGUGGAACAGCAAGUACUGGAAAAGAUUUCACUCUCACCAUCAGUGGAGUCCAGACUGAAGAUACAGGAGAUUAUUACUGUCAGAGUUACCACUAUAUCAACAGUAAAGCUGUGUUCACACAGUGAUAAAGAGUCGUACAAAAACCUCCGUCAGUCAGAGUCACAGUGACUGCACUGAUACAGCUGAGAGAUACUGCAGCUGCUGAUGGAUGUGAAUCAUCUCAAGCACUCUCAGAUCAUUAUAUUACAGUGCAGAACACAUCUGUCUGAUAAUGAAUUAAAUCUGUACUGGUUAGGCUAAUAGCUGUGAUGGCUGAACUAAAAAGGCUUAUCUCUCAACGUUUCAAUAAACCAUCCACUGUCCACAGCAUUGCAGUCAAAAACUGAAUUAAUGUUUAUUAUAUUUUAAAUUAAAAUACUGUAACACUUUUAAGUACCAAUUCUCACUAUUAAUUAGCAUGCAUGUUAUACUGGCUCUUCAUUGGUACUUAUAAAGCACAUUUUAAUGCCUUAUUCUGCAUGACCAUAUAUUACAUCUUUUAAUCCUACCCCAUAACUAUUAAUAAGGAGCAAAUUAAGAGUUUAUUCAGGCAAAUGUCAUAUUUAAUAGUUGGUUAAUUGUGAGAAUUGGAGCUUAAAAUAAAGUUUUCUCUGGUUUGUACAAAGUUAAUUUUGACCUGUGUUGUGGUUAGUUUAAUCACUAUAGAGGCUGAACAAAAUAAAGUCUUGAAGCUGAACAUCCCAAAAUGUCAUCCAAUGUCCACAGAGUUGCAGUCAAAAACUGAAUUAACCAUUUAUUCUGUUGUCAUGUGCUGAUUUAACACUUUUUAA